ensembl:lncRNA
AUGCCAGCAAAAAGGCUACCGUGAACAAAAACAUAUGUCUCCUUUCAAAAGAGAAAAUCUGUCUUUUCACAGCUACAAAGGAUCGAAAACAAAUUUUGUCAUCGGACGCGGAGCUGUGCCAACUCGCAGGCAGCCAGGGGAAAGCUUUGGCUUGGAGAAAGCUUCGAUGGAGAGAGAAAUAGAGAUGAAACAGCUCUGAAGGAGAAAAAGAGCAGUGAGGUUCCUGUGUCCUGCAGGUCCCAGCCCUGCUUCCAUGGGAGUCGUGCUGCCAGCCCCAGCCCACCCAUGGCCCCGCUGUCCCCUGGGGGAUGCCCACCCACAGCACCAGCCAGGAUGGGGGCUGCAAAUAGGACACAGCCCAUUGCACAGAGCCUGAGGGAAGAUUUCGGAGAGUGGGCAGAUUCAGGAGGCCAUGAGGUACAAAAGGGAAGACAUCGCUGCUCCCCUCAUCACACGCAUUGCCCCCUGGCAGGGAGCAGUCAGAUCUCAGCCCCCGUGCCCGUGGCUGUCCUGCUCCCUGUGCACUACCCCCCAUCAGCCAGCAGCCCCAGCGACCAGAAUCUGGAGAAUCUGCGGAGAAAGUCAUCUUGGAAGAAGUUAGAGCAGCUCAAGAAGAAAAUCCAGGAGCAGAAGCGAAAUCAACAAGCAGCUUCUCAGGAGCAGAAGUGCCUGAUUGCAUCCUGUGCUCCAGAGCUGCUUCAGGACAGACCCCUGAAGAGAAAGGUGUGCAGGGUGCCUGCCCCUUCUGCUCCAUGUCCCGGAGGCCAAAGAAAGAGUGGCUCAGCAUGGGGGACUCAGACACAGAGCCAGAAGCAGCCCUUGCCCAGGUCCUCUUCUCUGGAGAAAACAGCAGUGGGUGAAGGUUCAAAGCUCCCUGGUGCUUCUGCGUGGAGGGAAGGUCAGAAGUUAGCCAGGAAGCUGCUUGGUCCACCGCCUGCAUUUCCAAAGCUGAGAAGCAGAGCUGAAGAGCAGAGCACUGGAAAUGGCUACGGGCCCAACACUGCAGUGUCAGCAGUGGAGAACAGCUCCAGAGAAAAGAGAAAAGAACCUGUGGGGAAAAGCCCUGAGUUCCAAAGCUGUGCAGCUCCCCACCACGGCCCUGCUGGAAGGAGCAGCAGUGCACCAACCAAAGCUGCAAAGCAAAUACUCAGGAGUCUCCAUUUCCAAAGCCAGUGCCACGAUGUCCACAGGCAGAGUGGGCUCCUGGGAGAUACCAUGAAGGGAAAGGUUCUGCAGCAGCACCAUCUGCCUUCACCUGGACCUCAGGACACGAAUCCCUCUGCCUUUAGUGCAGGAAAACGAAGGGCUGCAUUAAUAACAGCUGGAGCCAAGGCCAGCAGCUCUGGAAGCAUCCACAGAGGGAAAAGCGAAUCUCCUCAGAGGUGGACCCCUGUGCAGAAAGGGUCUGAGAAAGAAAACCUGAAACAGCCUCCAAAGAGGAGAGUAAACCUUAGAAAACCUCACCCCUACAGCCGUGAUGUUGUUCAGGAGUUUAUGUGUCGGAAGAACGAAGAGAGAAAGAAAAAAAAGCUAGAAGAGAAGAAGUCUGUGAUGCAGGCAGUGGAAAUGAGGAAUAAGAGGCUGCAAGAAGUAUACAGGAAACAGAGAGAAGCUCUUGGAAAGAGAAAGUGCUCUGAGCAGGCGUGGGAGCUCAUCAGGGGAGCAGCUGCUGCCAAAGGAAGUCCUCAGCACACACUUGAGCAAGAACAAACCAGCGGUGAAACCCUGAGGCACAGUUUCAUGUCCUGGGUGGAGAAAGCAUCCCAUACUGCACUCCAUCGAGAUCCCAGGAAUCAGCUUCUAGAAACUGCUCCAUCAGUUACAAACAGAGAGGCAUUACCUUCUGCAACGCUACUGACAUUUGAAUCCUGGCUUCCCAGUCCUCUGAAAUGUCAGGACUUGAGGGACUGCUCCCCCCCAGCUCUGGAUACUCCUCCUCUGAGCUUUUCCCCUCCUCAGAAAGACACAAAGCCAGACUACAAGGACUCAACUUCUGGCCUUUCUCCAUAUAGAAAUAAAUGGGACCGAGUGAAAGCCAUACACAACCUUUCCAAGGAGCUUGCAGAAAAGAUUGAGAUGGCAACUAAGAGGCUGAGUGCAACAAGCACUGGUAAAGAUUCUGCUGGUAAAAUAGCAGCAGAGAUAACCUGGGACCUCUUCAAUGAAUCUUCUGUCCCUGAGCCAGAGGCAUCCAAAGAUGAGCAGGAUGGGGCAAUGACUGUACAGAUGCUGCUGGGAGCCCCAGGCCUUGAUGAGUUACAUGUGCCAUCAAACAGGGAAUGUCAUGGACCAGGCAGGAUUAGCCUUGUGGAUAGCACUGAGGGAACAGCAGAGCUGGCCAGAGAGAAGAAAAUAGCUUCUUUGUCUGGUGGGAGUGCUGUGAGCAAAGAGUGGCCAUGGAUCACUCACAGUAUAAGGCAGAGACAUCCCAAUGCUGGGGAGAGCUUGAGCAGCACAAUGGAAGGUUUUCCAGUGAAUAAAGGCUCCGAAGUGGACAUGAGCCUAUUGCAUGAAAAGCCAAUAACCAGCCCAGCCUUUCCAUCUCACGGAUUCCUUGCUAGAAGCCUGCAGACAGACCCUGCAGCUCGGAGGUGUGGGGCCGUUCCAGCACUGCAGGAUCGAGGGGCAGCUGCCCAACGCCAUCCCUGCAUGGAGAGCUUGAGGACAGCAGGCAGCCACGCACUGCAGCCCUGCAGAGCUCGAGGCAGCACUGAGCAGCACUGCGUUUCUGCAGGUGAGGCAGACUGUGCAGAACUGAAAGAGAAACACAGGAACCAUCUGCACAACUUAAAACAAGCUUCCCUCCUACUGGCUCACAAACUGAAGGCACAUCAGCUCCAGCAGAAGCAGUGGCUGGCAGUGCUGAGUGAGAAAGCCAAGCUAGAACUUCGGGAAAGCCAGAGGUCUUUGAGUGACCUGCUUCAGAACGAUUUAAAGCUGUGCAGCAGCUCCAAAGGCAGUGAUUCCCCUGUGCCGAAGCUGGACCACGCAGAGCAAACAUGGGCAGGACACCAGCCUGCAGGUGACAGCACAGCUGGCAGUAAUGAAGAGAUGCAUUCCCUGAAACAAUUUCCAUUGAAUAUGGAGAGAGAACGGAGCCCGGUGGACUCCAAAACUGUGGGACAAAGGAAAUCUCUGGGAGGAAGGAGUUCAUUUGGCUCAGCCCUUCAUGAAGGAUCUCUGCCAGCAGAGGAUGGGGAGCCAUUGCAUGGCCACCAAGGCCUGAACCUGCUCUCAGCUCCCAUAGAGCUGCCCCACGGGGAUCCCUGCACAGCAGGUGGCUCCGGGGACAGCAGUGACCAGGACAGCCAGGUAACACCAGCUCUGCUUCCACGCUGCUGGGCUUGGAUCUUGUUUUGUUGUAUUUUCAGUCCCC